UUUAAGGGCCGUUUCCAGGCGCCCCCCCUUUUUUCCAAUUCCCUCCGCUCCGAUUCAACCUUUUCUCUCUCUUUUUCUUCCCCCCCCCCCGCGCUCUUUUUCUUCCUUUCGUCCCUUUUCUUUCUUUCUUUUUCUUUCUUUUUUUCUUUUUCCUCCUCCGGUUGAUCGAAACGGGGAGGGAGGGAAGGAGAAAAAAAAAACAUGGUGGCGACUGGAUUGCGUGGCCUUUUCACAGCGCGGCCGCCCAGCUUAAAAAAACUGCUCUUCGCUUUUCUCUGAGUUUGUUUGGUGGUUGUUUUUUUCCCACUUCCCUUUAUUUUAUUUUAUUUUUCUUUCUUUUUUUUAAAGGACUUUUCGAGUAAAGCAAGUCAGACCGACAGAAAGGCGUUCAUUUUUUUAUUCUUCUUGUUUUUAAAGAGGAAUUUGGAGGAGGGGAAGUGGGGGGGGCUGGAAGAUUUUGCACCGUCGAAGUGGCGGGGGAGGGGGAAGGUUACUAGCCUUCUAGGGCUUAGGGGCCGGCCGCGGUAAGACCGGGUCCUUGUGCGUGGAUUUGAUGUUUCCAGCUGGCCAGCUUCGCGCGGGAGGAAAGCGCGCGGCACCCACCCUACCCCACCCCCCCGCGUGGGGAGUUUGACUGCCAGGUAAGCUAAGCAAGAACCCCGAUCCCAGCCUCGGGUGGAGGGGGUGGGGGGGAAAGCCCGAUCCUCCUUUGUUAAGGGGUCCCACCGAUUUCCUCCCGGCGAAAGGAGGCGGCCGCAGCCUUUCCGUGGAAGUCGCCCAUCUGCAUCGGAAGGACCCUUAUUCGUUAGCCGGGCUUCUCCGGAAUCCAUAACAGCCGCCAAAAAGAACCGAGACACGAUGUGCCUUUGAGCGGCGUAGACAAUCGGUGCAUUUAUUUGUUUGUUUUUCUUUCCCCGUCCUUUCCAAAUUUCAGCCGAAGCGGGGCUUGUCGUUGACCAAGAAUUCUACCCAAAAUAGAUCUACCGUACAGGAGGGGCUUGGGCGGGGGAGCGGCAAAAGGCGAGGGCCGUUCUCCCCAGUCAGUAAUUUAUUGGAGCCGUUUCCAAUUACAACCCCCCCCCUCCUCGAGCUGGAGGGCGGUUUCAAGGCCGCCCUCUUUGGGAAGCAGACAGGAGGAGGAAGAGGAAAACACGAAGGGGGGGGAGAGACAGAGAGGAUAAUUCCAUUCCAAUCCCUGCCUCACCCACCCUUUAAAGCAGAACUGACAUUUGCCAUGUAUUUUAUUCCCAACCUUGUUUGUUCUCCGUGAUCGUUGUGGAUUUGAUGCAACCUUAAACAUUUAUCCUCUCCUAUGUCACUCAUCCCAGGCCGAUUCUGAGCUCCCACUGGAGCCCUUGUACAACGUGUUUCCCUGCACACAACACGACUGAGCUGGAAAUCAGCAGAUGGCAGACUUGAGCUGAUCUGGCUAAUCUUCAACAAGCUACGAUUCCAUCUUCCUUAACUGCUCAGAGAGGAGACUUCCUAAGACAUCCCCAGUGCUAAACUGGGAAAGCCACCAUUGUUAAACUCCUUUUGCAGCAAGACCAAGAAAAUCACACGGAUGCAUCCAUGAAUAUCAUGAGGAGCCACCCCUGACUUAAGAAAGUCUGACUGUCCCUUGUGGGCUUCCUUUCAUUUUGGAGGCUUGGUGAAAUGUACCAAAAUGGCGUUUUUAUUGGCUUUAUAAUUUCCCCACCUUCUUUCCCCUAUUGGCCAUUAAGAGAGCAUUCGAGGAAGACUGCGCUCUAAAAGGAAACACGCCAGCCAUUAGAAAUGGAGUAACCACCACUGAGAAGCUGGCCUUGUCCAACUCAAAAAACCUGGCUUCAGAAGAAGCUCCGAAGUCUUCUCCAAAAAUGGAAUGGAAAACGAAGCUCCUGAGAAACAGCGUUCAAUAGCUUUAAGGCUGAUUGGCCAGAGCCAACUUCGAGCUAAAAAUGGGGGAAAUCCUGGGAAAAAAAACCUUUGAAGUGCAUCCAAAAAGCUAUUGCCAGUGGAGUGCCUGUACUGUGGCCCGUACCGUGACUUGGAUGAUGAGGAGGUUGGGGAGGAACUUGGACCAGUUCUGGAGUUUGCGGAAGGCUCUGAUGGAUGCUCUGCAUCGGACGCAGAAAUAGAGCCAGAGCCGUCCAACAUUUCCCAGCCACCGGAGAGGCAGCUGCCUUUGGAGGCUGAGAUGAGUGAGGAGGAAGAACAGCUGGGGCCUGUUCCAGAUGUGCGUAUGCGCAGAGCAGUUAGGAGAGGAGAACAAUGGAAAACAAGGAGUCAAAGCACUGUGGACCCUGAAUGUGUGGACCCUGUGUGGACCCUGAAUGGCCCCUCCCUGGCUGGGGAAUAAAUAGAAGGAAAGGGGAGGGGUUGUUGUAGGAGACAACCGUUCGGUAUUUCUGAAGAUUUUGCUCAUUGUGUUUCGUGAAUCAAAAACUGCUUGCCAGAACUUAAUUUGCAGCUUUGCAGCUGGGAGCUCACGGCCUGACAAUUAUCGCAAGAAACUGAUAAGGUCUGUUGCUGCAUUUAACUCCUUGCAGGACUCUUGCCUGGACUUUUCAGGUGGGUGAAUGCCAUUAAUUCACAAGAGGUAAAUAAAGAGAGGGGGGCGGGUUGGUGACAAGGAGUCUGUUUCUUGCUCCUGCUAAGGCUGGGUCAGAACAGCCUGUUUGGUUUUUCAUGAAAUGUCUUUAGUAAAGUUCUACAUUAUUGAGAAUAAGGUUUCAGGUGGGUUGUGUUUUUUUUUCCUCUGGUGUUCCUGCCGGUUACCUGGACUUGAACAGGAAUAAAAAAAGAAGUGAAAACUUAUCUAUUGGAAGAGGAGACCCCUUAGGCCUGUUCUCCAAUAGGGAGAAAGGUCAGACGUGAAGUCACAGAUAAAGCUCCUCUUUCUUCUCCUCUUUAGAGCGGCAGAGAAUAAAUUAUACCGGGGCUUAUCUUUUUGUUAAAGGUUGCUAUGUCACAAUCACAGGCUUUAAGCUAAGAACAAAACAAACUCGGGUGCAGCACCAUUAAAAAAAAAAAAAGUUGACUCGGUUGAAGAAACGAUAAGAGCUUUUCACCACCGGCUGUACCGAGGGGAGCCUCGACGUACGACCGCAACCGAGCCCAACAGUUCGGCUGCUAAGUGAGACGUUUGUUAAGGGAUGUUUUGCCCCAUUUUGCGAGCUUCCUGGCUUUGGUUGUUAAGCAAAUCGCUGCAGUGGUCACGCCAGCGACACGGCUGUUAAGGGAAUCUGGCUUCCCCAUUGACUUUAGUUGCCAAGAAUUUGAAUUUGGAUCGUGUGGCCAUGGGGGGAUCAGAGGUGAGUUUCAAAGAUUUUUACCACCAAUUCGCCAUGCGAGCACAAACUCGCGCAUGCUCACAGUCCAGUGGCGGGUUUCAAAAUGUUUUACUACUGGUUCUAUGGCUGUGGCUUGAUGGGCAUGGCAUGGCUUGGUGGGCCUGACCAUGGCAGGAGAAGGAUACUGUAAAAUCCCCAUUCCCUCCCCACUCCAGUUGAAGGUUACUGCAAAAUCUCCAUUUCCUCCCCACUCCAGUUGAAGGUUACUGCAAAAUCUCCAUUCCCUCCCCACUCCAGGGGAAAGUUACUGCAAAAUCCCCAUUUCCUCCCGAUCAGCUGGGAUUCGGGAGGCAGAGACUAGAUGGGGGCGGGGCCAGUCAGAAAUUUUACUGCCGGUUCUGUGGGCGUGGCUUAGUGGGCGUGGCAUGGCUUGGUGGGCGUGGCAGGGGAAGGAUACUAUAAAAUCUCCAUUCCCUCCCCACUCCAGGGAAAGGUUACUGCAAAAUCCCCAUUUCCUCCCGAUCAGCUGAGACUCGAGAGGCAGAGAAUAGAUGGGGGCGGGGCCAGUCAGAAUUUUUACUACCGGUUCUGUGGGCGUGGCUUAGUGGGCGUGGCAUGGCUUGGUGGGCGUGGCAGGGGAAGGAUACUGUAAAAUCUCCAUUCCCUCCCCACUCCAGGGAAAGGUUACUGCAAAAUCCCCAUUUCCUCCCGAUCAGCUGCGACUUGGGAGGCAGAGAAUAGAUGGGGGUGGGGCCCCAUCCGUGAUCUCCAUUACCGGUUCUCCCAAACCGGUAUGAGCCAACUGAAUACCGCCACUGCUGCAACAGUCAUAUGUGUGGGAAACGGACGUAUCACAGCUUUCAGUGCUGUUGUAACUUCGAAAGGUCGCUAAGCAAACUGUUGUAUAAGUCGAGGAAUACCUGAGUUUUCUUCCAGUUUAAACAGCUCCUAGAAGUGGCCGGGUCAUAGAUGGCUCAUUCCAGUUGGGGUGUCCCACCUUGGCAACUUCCAGAUUUGUGGAGUUCAGCUCCCAGAAUUACCCAGCCAGCAUUUUACACCUGCGAGUCUUAAAGUUGCCAAGGUUGGACACCCUUGGGAAGAAGGGGAAGGAAGGACGAGGAGGAAGAGGAGAAGAAGAGGGGGAGGAGGAGGAAGAAAAGAGGAGGAGGAAGAAAAGAGGAGGAGGAAGAGGCGAAGAAGAGGGGAGGUGGAGGAGGAAGAAGAAGUGGAAGAGGAUGAAGAGGAGGAGGAGAAGAGGGGAGAGGGAGGAGGAAGAAGAGGUGGUGGAGGAGGAGGAAGAGUGGAGGAGGAGGAAGAGGAGAAGAAGAAGAGGAGGAGGGGGAUGAGCAGGAAGAAGAGAAGGAGAAGAAGAAGAAAAAGAAGAGAAGGUGGUGGAGAAGGAAGAAGAGGAGGAAAAGGAGAAUUAUGAUUAUUAUUAUUGUUGUUGUUGUUGUUGUUGUUGUUGUUGUUAUUAUUAUUAUUAUUAUUAUUAUUAUUAUUUUAAUUAUUAUUAUUAUUAUUAUUAUUAUUAUUAUUAUUAUUAUACAGAGCAAUCUUCUCAUCCCUCGGUGCCUUUUCCACACCUUUUCCUUUUCCGCUGUCCUUUUCAACAAAAAGAAAAAAGAAAAGAAUUUCACACUUGCUUCCUCCGAACUGGAAAAUCCAGAUUUUUGCAAUAUUGGCAGGUUUUCAAAGUCUGAGGCCUCUUGGUAGAAGAUAGAGAGGAUAAGAGCUCAAGGUUAAAUUCCAAGAGGCCUAUUAAAAUAACAGCAAUGAAAUAUUACUGAUGGCAGUUGGCAUAUUUUUUUUAUUUAAGUAAGACUGUCUGUGGAGGAGUUCUUGAUUUGCAAGUGUGCAUUUCUCCGAGAAUACUGUUUCUUGAUCGUGGCACAAUCAUAUAUGGGAACUUUUUUUUUUUUUAAGUAUCAUCUAAAAAUCUGUUGCUUCCCUCCCCUUACCCUACACAACUUUACAUUUAUCUUUAAAGGAUCUGCCUUAACAAUAAGGUAAAUGUUUAACUGAAUAAGAAUUAGAGUACAUUUUCCCCUUCGCACACAUUAUAUAUUGCAGUUUGAGUGCUUCGGUGCUUUUAACCUAUUUUUAUUUAUUCAAUCGAUAAGCUUAAAAAUUUAGGAAUCCGUGUCUGACUUAAUUCGGAUUCCCGUAUGGUUUAACAUGCAAGUUAACUAUGUUUUUAUUUUAUAAACUGCAUUCAGUUUUGGUCGCCACGUUGUAAAAAAGAUGUGCAGAGUCUAGAAAGAGUGCAGAGAAGAGCAACAAAGAGGAUUAGGGGCAGUGGUGGGAUUCAAGUAAUUUAACAAUUGGUUCUCUGCCCUAAUGAUUUCUUCCAACAACCAGUUUGCCAAACUGCUCAGAAAGUUAACAACUGGUUCUUCCGAAGUGGUGCAAACUGGCUGAAUCCCACCGCUGAUUAGGGGACUGGAGGCUCAAAUAUAUGAAGAAUGGUUGCAGGAACUAGGCAUGUGAAGAGAAGGACCAAGGGAGACAUGAUAGCAGUGUUCCAAUAUUUGAGGGGCCGCCACAAAGAAGAGGGGGGGGUCAAUCUCUUCUCCAGAGCACCUGAAGGCAGGACAAGAAGCAAUGGAUGGAAACUAAUCAAGGAGAGAAGCAACUCAGAACUAAAGAGAAAUUUCCUGACGGAACAAUUAAUCAGUGGAAGAACUUGCCUCCAGAAGUUGUGAAUGCUCCAACACUGGAAGUUUUUAAGAAGAGGUUGGAUAACCAUUUGUCUGAAGUGGUGUAGGGUUUCUUGCCUAAGCAGUGGGUUGGACUAGAAGACCUCCAAGGUCCCUUCCCACUCUGUUAUUCUGUAUCUAUUGUUUGUUUAUUGAGUUACAUACUUAAAAAAAAACAACGCUAAAGAGCUCUAAAAAACACACACACAGCCUUACAGGCAUGAAAUCUGAGACACAAAAUGUGCCCACACACACACACACACAAUUCUCAAUUCACAAUUCUCAGACCUUUAAAAAACCUGAAUGCCAAGACAAUUUGUUUACCCCUGCUAGGCCAGAUUUUGCUGUGUUACGAGGUUUUCAUUUUAUUAUUAUUAUUAUUUUUUGAUCAAGUGACUUUGCUGUCCCACAGAAAUCCCGCUUUUGUAGGUCACCUCUUCCGCCCCCCCCCCCCCCCGUGGCUGUUCCGCCUGGAAAUGCUUCGAACAAUUUAAGUGUGUAAAAAUGUAAGUGGGGAACAGGCGGUACCUGUUAAAUAUAACUCAUCCUCCUUCAACAGAAGCUAUCGCAUGGCUGAGAUUCUCCAUGAUGAAAUCAGCAAUCCUGACGGGAUGGGAUCGUGUUUCCCCAAAAAUAAGACCCUGUCUUAUAUUUUUUUGAACCCUGAAAUAAGCACUUGGCCUUAUUUUGGGGGAGGUCUUAUUAUUUUGGGGGGUGUGGAGCAAGACGGGGCUCCUCUUGCCGUCUUACCUGAUUUCCAGCUCUGUCUCCCUAACCCUAACCAGAGGAAAUGGCAGAGGAAAUGCGUUUAAAUAUUUUCGGGGAGGGCUUAUUUUAGGGGGAAGGCUUAUUAUCAGGGGAGGGCUUAUUUCUGGGUCAACACAGUACCUGUAACGCAAUUAAUGUUCAACGUAACAUUAAUAAAAGGAUCAUUUCAAGCUAAAUACCUAGAGUUGUUUUUACAAUAUAGAAGAGAAGUUUGUAUAUUUUCUUUAACCGAUUGCCAAUAUCUUAACCUUGUGAUGAUUUAUAAUUUUUUUUUAAAAAAAAGAGAGAGAAGAAAAGAAAAAUGCCCCUCGUAAUAAUAUAAAUAAGCGUACAAUUUCUGAUGCUUUCUGCUCCAACAGAUUUCUACUUCCUAUUGGUGUGAACUUUUAAAAAAAUGUAUCUGUAUAUAUGCUUCACAAAGAAAAAACACGCACCUAAUCCUUAGACUUCAUCAUCAGAAAAAGCGAUUUAAAGAUCAAUUCGGACCCCAUUCGGUUUUCUUUUUCGCUUCCUUUCAGUCACACCCGAUUCUACUUGCAAUUUAUGCACCUAAAAAUACAUGCUGUAAAAUUCACGGACUGCAGACUGGUUGUCAUGACAAACCGUAAUCAAUAAAUCUCACAGCGGUGGCAUCAGCUUGUAUCUUCAAGUCAAGUCCCCAUUUUAGCUUUUUUUUUUUUUUGCACCACUCUCCACAGCUGCAAAUGAAACCACAGUUGUAAUGACUGCAAGACUUACUGGCCGCCUUACCUCUAUAAAACCCCAACACACACAAUAUACAAACAACUGCAUGUCCACGCACAAAUAUUUCUCUCUUGCGGAUUGCAAGGAUCAAAAGAAUAUCCCGUUGUCUCUCAUCAUCGCACAGCUCUAAAGUGGAGGAGAAUGGCUAGAUUUUAUUUUAUUUUAUUAUUUUAUUUAUUUUGUCACAACAUCGUACAAAAAGAUUAUAUAGUAUAUAAACAUAUAUAUGAGUAAAUAUUAGGAGGUAUAAGUAUAUAUACAUAUAUAUAUAUAUGUAGGUCUUGGUUAUUCAGGUUUUCUCCCGCGUAAA